GAUGAACGCUGGCGGCGUGCCUAAUACAUGCAAGUCGAGCGAACGGACGAGAAGCUUGCUUUUCUGGUGUUAGCGGCGGACGGGUGAGUAACACGUGGAUAACCUACCUAUAAGACUGGGAUAACUUCGGGAAACCGGAGCUAAUACCGGAUAAUAUUUUGAACCGCAUGGUUCAAAAGUGAAAGACGGUCUUGCUGUCACUUAUAGAUGGAUCCGCGCUGCAUUAGCUAGUUGGUAAGGUAACGGCUUACCAAGGCAACGAUGCAUAGCCGACCUGAGAGGGUGAUCGGCCACCCUGGAACUGAGCCACGGUCCAGACUCCUACGGGAGGCAGCAGUAGGGAAUCUUCCGCAAUGGGCGAAAGCCUGACGGAGCAACGCCGCGUGAGUGAUGAAGGUCUUCGGAUCGUAAAACUCUGUUAUUAGGGAAGAACAUAUGUGUAAGUAACUGUGCACAUCUUGACGGUACCUAAUCAGAAAGCCACGGCUAACUACGUG
rnacentral:rRNA from 1 species